rnacentral:lncRNA from 1 species
GGGAAUGAGGAGGUCGGCCAGCCGGCUGGGCCUGCGGUCUUUGGCUGUUCCUUCUCUGCACUCUUCCCUCCGCUCCUGUUGUGCGGGAACUGGAGAAUCGUUAGGACCUGGGGGAAGCAAAGAAAUGGAUCAGAGAACAGGAGGGCUGGGAAGAGACCUGGUUUCUCAAACCUGACUGAGCAUCUGAAUCACCUGAGAAGCUAUUAAAAUGCAGAUUCCCCGACCCCACCCCCUCAGAGUCAGAGUCUGUGCGUUUAGGGUGCGGCCUUUCUCAGAGGGAUCGACUGAGACUUACCGAAUCCUAGAAGUCUUUACCUGAGGCAGUUCUUGCAGUGUACUGUAUAUUUCAUGACAUUCCAGGUAAAAGAUGACACGACCGAGACCGUUGAGUGGCAGAAAUAUGAACUGACUUGUCUAAGGCUCCACAGGUGGUAGACGGCAGAGCCAAGACCUGAGCCAAUUAUCUUUUCCCCUGCACUGUGCGGGGUAAUACAGCUCGUUUAAAACAAGCUGGUGUCUCCGUUCCGUUUUCCGCGUUGCUUCUCACAAUUCACCGUUAGAAUCCAGAAGUAAGAGAACCCAGGGAAGCGUAAGGAAGAUGAAUAGGACAAAGAUUCUAAGAAGGUGGGAAGGAAGAAGGCUGCAGUCUAUUUCAGGUCUGGUGAAUUUCGAUCACUGUAGCCUUUAUUGUUAUUUUGGAGCCACUUAGAUCAAAAGACAAGGAGCUUAAAUUGCUGUCCAUGUUCUAGACACUGAGGAUAUACUAGUGUUCAGGAGGCAAACAUCCUGCCCUUUUGGAGCUUAUACUUUGGGAAGAAGAGAACAGACUGCAAAACACAAGAAAGCAGAUUAUAUGGUACAGUCAUCCAUCAGUAUCGGCUGGGGAUUACUUACAGGACCCCUGUCAAAAACCUGGAACAGUGAAUGACAAAAAGGUAGUGUGAAGGACCAUGUGCCACGUUGGGCCUGCCUGAAUAACUGCCAGACCCUACAGGAAUAACCUGCUGGGGGAAUCUCUACCUUUGGAGAGCCAGGAGGCCACCAUGACAACACUGAGUUCAGUAGACUCCUAGGAGAGCUGUGAUCCAAUUGCCAGGAAGCCAGGAUCAGAAAGUUCUUGCCAGCACUGCUGCCAUUGCCUCCUACUCUCACAAAGAUCAAGACCGCACGCUAGAGUGAUGCUGUGGAAAAACCAUCUCCAUGACCUUGCUGGGCAGCAGCAGCAGGAAGAUGGCCUCCUCUUCACAUUUGUCCUCCUGAUAUUCUACCAGUACAUCUAAUUAGAAUUGGAACUCUAGUUGAGGGAGUCUGGGAAAUGAAGACUAGCUUUCCAUCUUUUGCUGUGUGCCAGUUGACCAUAUCUAAUAUCACUGUCUUCUUUCUUAGAGUAACCACUUCACUCCUACCUUUUCGCCUUCCUAAAGAACCACUGUGAGACCACUCUUCUCCUGUCACUCCCCUACCUCACCUUGUAUGCUUCCACACCUACAUUGUUUUCUUUUUUCUUUUCUUUUCUUUUUUUUUUUUUUUGCUUCUCCUUCCCACCUGGCCUAUCCUUCAAUGGUCAGGUUAACAUGUUACCCCCACAAUGGAAGCUUCUCUGACUUAUUUCUUCAGCAAACUCAAUUGACCCUUUUUCUGGGCUCCUACAACAUUUUGUAAAAAGUCACUGCUAUAGUACAUAUAAUUAACAUCAUAAGUUGUUGUUUUUCUUUCUGCCAGACUGUGAGCCUUUGAAGGGCAGGUACUAUGUUUUAGUUUUCUGUUCUCAAUGUCUAGUCCAGGGUCUGGCUCAGAGUGAAUAAAUGUUGAUGGAGUGAAUAAUACAUGAUGAAAAUGGCAUAAUCUUAAUCCUCUGGAGCUUUAGUAAGUGAGGGAAACGUGUUUAUAAGGCAGACAAAAUUCUACUGGGAAGUCUUCAUCAUAUCCCAAAGGCUCUAUUUUCUAUAUAGUCUUCUGUGGAAUUUAGAGACAACCAAUUUGACAAGAGGCUCCCCUAGAUUUGGUUGGGGAAGCCCUUCCCUGUGAAAGAAGAGAGAUUCUGUGAAUUAGUCAUUUGCCUAGUUUCUUGUAAGUGUAGACUUACCUCAGAACAGAGACAUGUAAGCAUCCACCUCUCAACCUAUCUCCAAUCCAGCUAUUUGAGAGGAAGUAUAUGGUUUGGCAAAGCUAAAUCUCCAAAACGAAAACCUCUUGGGCAAGUAAAGGCAGCUAAACCUUGUAAGUUGUUAGUAUACCCAGACUUUGUUUCUGUGCAAGCCCAUCUAUUAAGAUGGACAGGCAUGAUGGCUCAUGCUUGUAAUCCCAGCUUCUUGGGAGGUUGAAGUGGGAGAAUCUUGGUUGAGCCUAGGAGUUCAAGCUAUGAUAGUGCCAGUGCACUCCAGCCUGGAUGAUAGCGAGAUCCUGUCUCGAAAACAAAAACAGAAGAUGGAAAGGGGAGUGGGACGGCAAAGGUCAAGAAGGAAGAUUCAGCACAGAAUCCAGGGAACACAAGUUAUGAGGGCCAAGGAAAGCAGGACUUCCAGACCUGGACCUCACUUGCCGAUUGGGAAAAAAGUCCUCAAACCUAUUCCUUCUUACACUGGCCUUAGAUGAUUUUCUGACAACUCUUGUGCUCGUGUGCUGUUGUUCAGCUGGUGUUUGAUAAUGGGAAUGUGUCUGAAAUGAAAAGAACAAUAGGCCAGGAAACCUUAUAGCCUGGAUAUUUUAACUUUUAGGUAAAUAUUUAAAUAAUUUGGCAGAGGCUGUUAUAAGUAGUAAUUAUAGGUCUACCCCUAAAUUAAGGCUACUAGUUAUUCAGUUGUUUUUCCUUGAGUAUUUAUAUAAGAAACUACUAAACUGUAACAUUUUAUAAUAUUCUGUGACAUAUAAGAUGUUCCGCUUCCUGUGGCUCCAGUUAUUCUAUCAUUUUUUUUUUGUUUUUAUUCUACAUAUUGCCUCUAGGUUAUACAAGUUUUUUCCUUCCCCUGGUAAAUGAAAUCACUAUAUUUAAAGUGGUAUAUUGGUAUAUUUUAGGGCAAACAGCAAAAAAAAUAAUAAUAAUAAUAAUAAUAGGUUCCUUACCUAAGCUAUACCUCCUAAGGAAAGGGAUUUGGGGGGGUCUUGAUUUUUCAUCUGCCAAGUAGAAAACCUUCUAUCCAUUUUCACCCAAGAAUUGACAAUCUGAAGGUCACUGUAUUUGGUGCUCAAUUGUCAUAAUGAAAUAGUCCCCAGCAGAGAUCUCUUCAGAUUAUUGCAAGGGCAAACCAGGAUUACUGAAAUAUUUUCAUGUACAAUUGUUAUACUGACCUUCAACUUCUGAUAAUAAAAUAAAUGC